rnacentral:rRNA from 1 species
CGCCGCGUGAGUGACGAAGGCCUUCGGGUCGUAAAGCUCUGUUGUAUGGGAAGAAACAAAUGACGGUACCAUACGAGAAAGGACCGGCCAACUUCGUGC